UCUCGUGAUGUUCUCGGACAUCUGACAAGCUGGUGGCCCUCUGCUGACUGCCUGAACCCCUCUCAGACCUUCAAACCAUGGGCCACAUCCUACUUCCUUCCCUACGCCUCCUGUGCACUAUCAAGCCCACAGCAGCUUCCAAACCAAGCACCUCUGUGGGCUGUCUUUGAUGUGGAACAGAGAAAAUGAUUUAUGAGGUAAAGAAAGAUUAAAUGAAUUGCUCAAGGUUAUGGAUCUGAGAAUCAAACCCAGGCAGUCACUGAGGGCCAUGAAUGCCUGUGAGGUCUGAGCACAAAGGGCCACAGUUUGGGGAGCCUUGGCAAGGUUGCUGUGGCUGAACUUGUCACAGAAGACAUGGAGCUACCUGAGAACUCUCACUUUCAGAUGUACUUCACAGCCCAGGCAGGAGGUACAGCAACUGGCAUGAUCUGAGGAUCUGGUAAUCUUGCCUUCUCAUGCUGCUCUUCCUCUACUGGAAUGCCCUGCCUUCUUCUAUACCCACCUAGAUCCUCUGGUAUUGUUAAAAACCCAGCUCAAAAGCCACUUCCUUCAAGAAUUCUUCUCUGGUCUCCCCAGCUGGAGAGUAUUGCUCUUCCUUUUGAGUUCCUAAUGCCCUGGAUCAUAGGACUCUGAUCAUUUUCUAUUGUAUAAUGAGUAUUCAUGUUCUUCUACUCCUUUAUGAUGAUUAUAUUAUUUUUCCCAAUUAUUCACUUCUCCUCUCUGUAAAAGUAAUAUAAAUUGCCAGAUAUCGGCAUGUGACUUUCAGUACCUCCCUGUAGAGGGAAGAUAUUUCCUUACCCAUUGUCAUAGGUUUGGUCAUGAGACUUGCUUUGGCCAAUCAAUUGAGAAUAGAAGUGAUCAGAGCCAUCACAGUAUCGUCUACCCUCUGCCACAAGAAUGACAUGUACUAGACUCUUGAAGCAGAGCCAAAGCUAACCUGAAGCUGAUGAGCAAGAAAUAAACCUUUGCUGUUAUAAACCACAAAGUUUGGGGGGUUGUUAUCACAUCAUAACCCGGAAAAAGCUGACUAAUACAUCUUUACUAAAGUGCCAGCAUAUUUAUGGGAAGGAUCAUAUCUGAUUCAUGAUUUGUUUCUUCUCUUUCAUAAACCUAGCACAAUGCCUUUUUUAGAGGCUCAGUAACUGUUCACAGAGUGAACAAGUUAAAAGAUCUAUCAUUUACUAAGUGCCAGUCUAAUAAUCCCUCACUUUGUGUAGUGCUA